ensembl:lncRNA
GGAAUCUGGUGUGAGAAAACCGUUGGCUGCGCCGCGGUAACUGUUAGUGUGACCCGGCCGUCCGCUAGUUUGCGGAGGUUGGGAGCACGUAGCUGCACACCAGCGCCGCACGGUUGUCACCCUCGGGCUCCAGCCUGCGUGCCUGCGGCGGGGCAUCCUCCACCGCGGUCCUUUAGCCUGUGCUGAGUCCUGUAUUGAGGGAAUUUUCCUGACCCAGGGAUCAAACCCACGUCUCCUGGGGCUCCUGCAUUGGCAGGCAAAUUCUUCACCCCUGAGCCACCUGGAAGGCCCAAGUUAUUCCUGCAGACUAGCCAAGCUCUCAACACAUAGUCACGAGCUGUUCACUCUUGUCUGAAGAGUGGUCCCACUGCUGCUGCUAAGUCGCUUCAGUCGUGUCCGACUCUGUGCGACCCCAUAGACGGCAGCCCACCAGGCUCCCCCAUCCCUGGGAUUCUCCAGGCAAGAACACUGGAGUGGGUUGCCAUUUCCUUCUCCAAUGCAUUAAAGUGAAAAGUGAAAGUGAAGUCACUCAGUGGUGUCCAACCC